rnacentral:rRNA from 1 species
UACGUAGGGGGCAAGCGUUGUCCGGAUUUAUUGGGCGUAAAGAGCGUGUAGGCGGCCAUACAGGUCAGCUGUGAAAACUCGAGGCUCAACCUCGAGACGUCGGUUGAAACCGUAUGGCUAGAGUCCGGAAGAGGAGAGUGGAAUUCCCGGUGUAGCGGUGAAAUGCGCAGAUAUCGGGAGGAACACCGAUGGCGAAGGCAGGUCUCUGGGCCAUUACUGACGCUGAGGAGCGAAAGCGUGGGGAGCGAACAGG